UACGUAUGGAGCAAGCGUUAUCCGGAUUUACUGGGUGUAAAGGGAGUGUAGGUGGCCAUGCAAGUCAGAAGUGAAAAUCCGGGGCUCAACCCCGGAACUGCUUUUGAAACUAUAAGGCUGGAGUGCAGGAGGGGUGAGUGGAAUUCCUAGUGUAGCGGUGAAAUGCGUAGAUAUUAGGAGGAACACCAGUGGCGAAGGCGGCUCACUGGACUGUAACUGACACUGAGGCUCGAAAGCGUGGGGAGCAAACAGG
rnacentral:rRNA from 1 species